rnacentral:tRNA from 1 species
GGCGCCAUGGUGCAUCGGUUAGCACACGGCUCUUUCAAGGCCGAAAGACGGGUUCGACUCCCGUUGGCGCCGCCA